rnacentral:rRNA from 1 species
GACGAACGCUGGCGGCGUGCUUAACACAUGCAAGUCGAGCGAGGUUCAACCAGUGGCAACACCGGGGUAGACCUAGCGGCGAACGGGUGAGUAACACGUGAGCAACCUGUCCCGGAGUCUGGGAUAACACCGGGAAACCGGUGCUAAUACCGGAUACCCCCACGGAAUCGCAUGGUUCUGUGAGGAAAGACUGAGUCUAAUAAAUUCAGGUGCUUCGGGAGGGGCUCGCGGGCUAUCAGCUUGUUGGUGAGGUAACGGCUCACCAAGGCGACGACGGCUCGCUGGUCUGAGAGGACGACCAGCCACACUGGGACUGAGACACGGCCCAGACUCCUACGGGAGGCAGCAGUGGGGAAUCUUGCGCAAUGGGCGAAAGCCUGACGCAGCAACGCCGCGGUGGGGGAUGACGGUCUUCGGAUUGUAAACCCCUUUCAGCAGGGACGAAUCUGACGGUACCUGCAGAAGAAGCCCCGGCCAACUACGUGCCAGCCGCCGCAGUAAC